rnacentral:rRNA from 1 species
UACGAAGGGGACUAGCGUUGUUCGGAAUCACUGGGCGUAAAGCGCACGUAGGCGGAUGUGUCAGUCAGGGGUGAAAUCCCGGGGCUCAACCUCGGAACUGCCUUUGAUACAGCACGUCUCGAGUCCGGAAGAGGUAGGUGGAAUUCCUAGUGUAGAGGUGAAAUUCGUAGAUAUUAGGAAGAACACCGGUGGCGAAAGCGGCCCACUGGUCCGGUACUGACGCUGAGGUGCGAAAGCGUGGGAGCAAACAGG